CCUACGGGUGGCAGCAGUGAGGAAUAUUGGUCAAUGGGCGUGAGCCUGAACCAGCCAAGUCGCGUGAGGGAAGACGGUCCUAUGGAUUGUAAACCUCUUUUGUCGGGGAGCAACAGACGCCACGCGUGGCGGUCCGGGAGUACCCGGAGAAAAAGCAUCGGCUAACUCCGUGACAGCAGCCGCGGUAAAACGGAGGAUGCGAGCGUUAUACGGAUUUAUUGGGUUUAAAGGGUGCGCAGGCGGAAGAGCAAGUCAGCGGUAAAAUUGAGAGGCUCAACCUCUUCGAGCCGUUGAAACUGGCGUUCUUGAGUGGGCGAGAAGUAUGCGGAAUGCGUGGUGUAGCGAUGAAAUGCAUAGAUAUCACGCAGAACUCCGAUUGCGAAGGCAGCAUACCGGCGCUCAACUGACGCUCAUGCACGAAAGUGUGGGUAUCGAACAGGAUUAGAUACCCCUGUAGUC
rnacentral:rRNA from 1 species